UUUAAUUGAAGAGUUUGAUCAUGGCUCAGAUUGAACGCUGGCGGCAGGCUUAACACAUGCAAGUCGAGCGGUAGCACAAGAGAGCUUGCUCUCUGGGUGACGAGCGGCGGACGGGUGAGUAAUGUCUGGGAAACUGCCUGAUGGAGGGGGAUAACUACUGGAAACGGUAGCUAAUACCGCAUAACGUCGCAAGACCAAAGAGGGGGACCUUCGGGCCUCUUGCCAUCAGAUGUGCCCAGAUGGGAUUAGCUAGUAGGUGGGGUAAUGGCUCACCUAGGCGACGAUCCCUAGCUGGUCUGAGAGGAUGACCAGCCACACUGGAACUGAGACACGGUCCAGACUCCUACGGGAGGCAGCAGUGGGGAAUAUUGCACAAUGGGCGCAAGCCUGAUGCAGCCAUGCCGCGUGUGUGAAGAAGGCCUUCGGGUUGUAAAGCACUUUCAGCGAGGAGGAAGGUGGUGAGCUUAAUACGCUCAUCAAUUGACGUUACUCGCAGAAGAAGCACCGGCUAACUCCGUGCCAGCAGCCGCGGUAAUACGGAGGUGCAAGCGUUAAUCGGAAUUACUGGGCGUAAAGCGCACGCAGGCGGUUUGUUAAGUCAGAUGUGAAAUCCCGGGCUCAACCUGGGAACUGCAUUUGAAACUGGCAAGCUAGAGUCUCGUAGAGGGGUAGAAUUCAGGUGUAGCGGUGAAAUGCGUAGAGAUCUGGAGGAAUACCGGUGGCGAAGGCGGCCCCCUGGACGAAGACUGACGCUCAGGUGCGAAAGCGUGGGGAGCAAACAGGAUUAGAUACCCUGGUAGUCCACGCUGUAAACGAUGUCGAUUUGGAGGUUGUGCCCUUGAGGCGUGGCUUCCGGAGCUAACGCGUUAAAUCGACCGCCUGGGGAGUACGGCCGCAAGGUUAAAACUCAAAUGAAUUGACGGGGGCCCGCACAAGCGGUGGAGCAUGUGGUUUAAUUCGAUGCAACGCGAAGAACCUUACCUACUCUUGACAUCCAGAGAACUUUCCAGAGAUGGAUUGGUGCCUUCGGGAACUCUGAGACAGGUGCUGCAUGGCUGUCGUCAGCUCGUGUUGUGAAAUGUUGGGUUAAGUCCCGCAACGAGCGCAACCCUUAUCCUUUGUUGCCAGCGGUUCGGCCGGGAACUCAAAGGAGACUGCCAGUGAUAAACUGGAGGAAGGUGGGGAUGACGUCAAGUCAUCAUGGCCCUUACGAGUAGGGCUACACGUGCUACAAUGGCGUAUACAAAGAGAAGCGACCUCGCGAGAGCAAGCGGACCUCAUAAAGUACGUCGUAGUCCGGAUUGGAGUCUGCAACUCGACUCCAUGAAGUCGGAAUCGCUAGUAAUCGUAGAUCAGAAUGCUACGGUGAAUACGUUCCCGGGCCUUGUACACACCGCCCGUCACACCAUGGGAGUGGGUUGCAAAAGAAGUAGGUAGCUUAACCUUCGGGAGGGCGCUUACCACUUUGUGAUUCAUGACUGGGGUGAAGUCGUAACAAGGUAACCGUAGGGGAACCUGCGGUUGGAUCACCUCCUUACCUAAAGA
rnacentral:rRNA from 1 species